rnacentral:rRNA from 1 species
AACGAACGCUGGCGGCAUGCCUAACACAUGCAAGUCGAACGAGAUCCUUCGGGGUCUAGUGGCGCACGGGUGCGUAACGCGUGGGAAUCUGCCCUUAGGUUCGGAAUAACAGUUAGAAAUGACUGCUAAUACCGGAUGAUGACGUUAAGUCCAAAGAUUUAUCGCCUGAGGAUGAGCCCGCGUAGGAUUAGCUAGUUGGUGUGGUAAAGGCGCACCAAGGCGACGAUCCUUAGCUGGUCUGAGAGGAUGAUCAGCCACACUGGGACUGCGACACGGCCCAGACUCCUACGAGAGGCAGCAGUGGGGAAUAUUGGACAAUGGGCGCAAGCCUGAGCCAGCAAGGCCGCGUGAGUGAUGAAGGCCUUAGGGUUGUAAAGCUCUUUUACCCGAGAUGAUAAUGACAGUAUCGGGAGAAUAAGCCCCGGCUAACUCCGU